AUCCAUCUCAAAUCCAAGCUUACGAUCAAUCCUAUGCGUAUCAACAACCAUAUUAUCCCUACACUCAACAAUACGCGUAUUAUCCUGAUCCAACUCAAGCUCACCUUCAAUUCCAACCCGAAUCCGCACCGGUUCACCCUCCCGGUGUCAAUCCUGAACCGGCUCCUCAAAGACCCACGCACGCCCCGGAUUUUGCAAUGAGUGCAUUAGAGAGCUGAGAGAAAAUUGAAGGGCAAAUUACACUGAUCUCCCAUGAACUUUCCUUUUUAAAGGAAGAUAAUGUUACCUUAUCCCUUUACAGAGGUGUUUAGUGUCGCAUUUUGUGAAAAUACAAGGAUAUUCGAUGAAGUAUUACCUACAUAUUUAGGAAUGCCAGUAUAUGCUAUUAGAGAUCGAGGGAAGUUUGGUUGAAUUUCACUAAAUUUCAUGGGAGUGAGUGUAAUUUGCCCAAAUUUUAUUAUGGGACUACUUAGUCUGAAAAUGAUAGAAUCUCGGAUAAGGUGGUUUGGUUAUGUACAGAAGGCUUGUAAACGAUAGGUAAUAAACAGCAGUAAUUUGGUAUUAGAAAUGAAUACAUUGGAAUGAAUAUCAUGGUAGUUUAUUAUUGUGAAAAUGGUGAUGAAUUUGUAAUUGGUGGUAUUGUUUUGUUAGUGGAAGGAGCUUGUAGUCCAUAGCCAAUAGGUAAGUAAGCAACAUAGGUUUAGGAAAGGAAGUAUCAGAAAGAGAAUUUGGGUUAUAACUACUACGAAAAGGGAUGAAAGAAUCUAAAUCUAGUGUUAGGUGGUUUAACUAUGCAUGGAAGUGGGGUCUAUGUAGAUUAGUAGAAGUCUCAGACUCUUGGUAAGAAGAGUGGAUCAAAUGGAGAGUAGUUGAGAAGCUAAUAUAGAAUGAGGCAAGGAAAUCUAUAAAUGGAAUCGUCAAGAAGGAUUUAGAUUUCUAAACAUAUUAACGUAAUUUGUUAGUUGAUAGGAGACUAUGGUGUGAUAAAUAUGCUUACUACAUCUAGUUGGACAAGACUUGGCUCUUCUUGUUACACAUUUGGUUAUGUGUUAUGAGAAUUAUUACAGGAAUGGAACGUGUUGCUAUUGGGUAUGGAUGCCAUAACUAUGUUGUUCUUGAAUAUUUUCUUUCUGCCGCAAUAUUGUCUUUGCUGAGAUUGAUAUCAUUGACUAUCUGUUGAUUCUUCUGACAUCAUACUAUUUCAGUGUAUUUAUUUUGGAAAGUAUAAAUAGUAUCACUAUUUUAGAACAGCUUUUAUUAAAAAAAGAAUAUUUUAUAGCAUAACUUCUAUACGUCCUUCCUCCUUUGGUACAUUUUGUUCCUUACCUGCCUAACACUUUGUAUCAGGUGUCGAGCAUAAGGGAACAAAUAGCAGUUCCAUAGAAAGUUUUACUCAUCUAUUUCUUACUCUAGUUAUGAUAACAUGCUUACUGAGCAAAAUACCACCCAAACUUCUAUGGAAGUUUUAUUACUUGUACCGACAUUUGGUGCUUGAUAUAUAUUUGGAUAGUACAUCUAUAAGCACCUCAUCAAUUUUUUACAUUUUUUCUGGAAUUUUGACCAACAACAAAAGCCAUGUUUUAUUGUACCACUAGGUGAGUUUGCUAUAUCAUUUAAUCAAUGCCAUUGGGAUCAAUCAAGAUUUUUUUUUCUUUUUAUUUUUCAUUGAUACAAUAAGGUCUUUGUCUUUUGACUCCCUAGGUCUGUUUUUAGAUGAACAUGAGUACAGGACUGCAUUUAAAAGUUUGUUAACUCAAAACUUCGUUGUUAAUGUUCUGAGUUCUGAGUGUCUACGUAUGUUCAAAGUGCUUUCUAAUUUUACUAAUUCUUCCCAAUGAUUGUGGCAGGGGAAAAAGAAAGCCAUAGCAGCUUCUUUUUCUCAAGUGUCUCCCUGUUUGGCACUAAACAAGAUUAGUGGGAGGAACAUGUGGUAGACUCAGUUCAGCAUAUUUGCUGCUACACUAACAUGCUAGUUUCUCAAUUCCACCUAAAAGACAAUUGUAUGUUUGAAGAAUUAAAUAGAAAAGGCUCAUAAAAGAUUUUGUAGCACUUAAUCAUUUUUAAACAUUUUGUUAUGCUUUUAGAGAGAAUAUCUUGCUGUGCUUCCUCAGGAUCUUUUGGGACUUUCUCUGGACAAAAGGCCAAUAUUUGAAUAGAGGGUGUUUUAUCUUCAGUUUCAGACUUAGGGAAGCGUUGAGCAUGUUUUCAGGACCUUGAGAAAUUGUCCAGGAAUGCUUGAUCAACAGUAUCUUGAGGCUCAUAAAAUUGUCAAUGGACUGCGCCAUUUCAAUACAGAGGUAGGGG